UAUAGGUUUUAAGGCGAAAUUUCUCGACCAAAUUAUAGUUAAUCGACAGCAAUUCCCUUAAUUAAAUAUAAAGCUUUUGAUUCUCGGAUACUUCUACAAGUAUCGAAAGAUCGCCAUCGAUAUUAAACUAAAACCGUUAUAAAUAUGCUGAAUAAUUAGCAAAAUAGCCGAAGAAGAAAACGAUAAAUCUUAUAUUGUGAAGUAAUGUAAAAUUCGUAGAGGAAAUCGAAUUCGGCAAAGUAAAAUACCGAAAUUUCUUGAACGUUUUUGUGUCUUACAAUGUUUAUACUGUAAUUUCCGCGGUAAAGAAAGACUGUAAUUACUCAUAAGCCGCACAGAUUCGUUCAGUUUAUAGUUGAAUGUGAAAUUUUAUGAGGGAUUAAAUGAAAACUUUCUUUACAGUAUAAUAAAUUCUCUGUUUUCUUUCAAAAUACUCUUUGGCAAACAUUUGUAUAUUUAAUUUCAAAAUCAAAAGAAACCCCUCGAUAAUAAAUAUUAAUUGUGUUACAAAUUUUCUCUGUUUAUAUUUAGGGAGAGAUUGGAUACGCGCGGAUUCGUCCAUCGAAACAAUACGGAUCAUUUUAGAUUGCGCGCGAAGAGGAAGAAAGGCCUCCUACGGCGGGACGAAUCGGUACAAUGUACUGCCGAAUGUCCUAACGUAUUUGACAAUAACAUCAAAUCCGCUUGUACAAAGGCGUUGAAUAAGGUUCGACCUUUGUAUCGGAGAAUGUGCGAUCGCUUCGAGAGUGAGAGAUUGGUCGAAGAUACUUUUGAAAAUAACGUGGAAUAUCGCGAGAAAAGUCCGUUGAAGAAGGUUGGAUCUUUCUUUAAAUCGAUGUGGAAGCCGGUUAAGAGAACCGUGCGUAAGUGGAGAGAGGGUGAAGAAUCCGAGUAUGCUCGGUUGGAGUAAGAUCUCUGUCGAUAUCCGAAGAGAUUUAUUUCUGGUUUGGUCCGAGUUCGUCUUGGAUCUUGGAAGAGAUUCGGAGAUUUCGGUCUCUUUCUAUUUGUUUUUCAUUGUUUUGUUUAUUUGUUUCUUAUAUGUCUUUGUCGUUCGGUAUCGUUGUUGUACGCCUUUCGUUCUGUAUUUUAGAAAUUUAAAGUUAAAAAACAAAUUAAAAGAAUUGAGGAAUUUAAAAAAUUGUGUCUCUACGAUAAUGUCUUUCACCGAAUUUGACCUCUCACCGAUUUUGACUCGUCUGAACGUGCUUAUUUUCUGAUUUCGACUCUCCAGAAUUGUGACUACUUUUGAACUUUGACUACCGAAUGAUCUAUCCACUAAUUUUGACUCCCAAAUUGUGUCAAUACUCGAAUUUCGACUCUCGAUUUUGUCUAUUUACUAAUUUUGACUUUCGAAUUAUGUCUAUACUCGAAUUUUGACGCUUCCUAUUAAUUUCUUCACUCGAUCUGUGUCGAAUCCCGAUCGAAAUCUGCUGAGAAUUGCAUCGAAAACGAAAAUAUAAGUUAAUCCUCGGCAACGUUAACUGUAUACUACGUCCAUAGAAUUUAUUGAAUGUCUGAUGAACACGAGAACACACGGAAAAACAAGACGGGAGAAAGGAAAUAAUUUACCAAAUACAAAUGCGUAUGGAAAUUUUUGAGAUAAAAUCCUUGUUCAAUGAAAUGUAUUCCGAAUUGACGGAAUUGGUACACGAAAAUUUUCGUAAAGAAAAAACUGGGAUUGGUUCGAACUAAAUUUAAAUUUAAAAUAGACGUGAUUCGAUCGAAGUCCUUGGAGGAAAUAUUCUCCCAAAAGUAUUGUCUGGUAUCAAUUAGUACAUUUAUCGUCUUGUGAUGCGAAUGCCAAUAGAAUCAUUCUCUUUGUAAAC